rnacentral:rRNA from 1 species
AACGCUGAAGAGAGGAGCUUGCUCUUCUUGGAAUGAGUUGCGAACGGGUGAGUAACCGCGUAGGUAACCUGCCUGGUAGCGGGGGAUAACUAUUGGAAACGAUAGCUAAUACCGCAUAAAAUUGAUUAUUGCAUGAUAAUUAAUUGAAAGAUGCAAUUGCAUCACUACCAGAUGGACCUGCGUUGUAUUAGCUAGUUGGUGAGGUAACGGCUCACCAAGGCGACGAUACAUAGCCGACCUGAGAGGGUGAUCGGCCACACUGGGACUGAGACACGGCCCAGACUCCUACGGGAGGCAGCAGUAGGGAAUCUUCGGCAAUGGGGGGAAUCCCCUGACCGAGCAACGCCGCGGUGAGUGAAGAAGGUUUUCGGGAAUCGUAAAAGCUCUUGUUG